rnacentral:rRNA from 1 species
GUAGGUGGCAAGCGUUGUCCGGAAUUAUUGGCGUAAAGCGCGCGCAGGUGGUUCGUUUAAGUCUGAUGUGAAAGACCCCCGGCUCAACCGGGGAGGGUCAUUGGAAACUGGGGAACUUGAGUGCAGGAGAGGAAAGUGGAAUUCCACGUGUAGCGGUGAAAUGCGUAGAUAUGUGGAGGAACACCAGUGGCGAAGGCGACUUUCUGGCCUGUAACUGACACUGAGGCGCGAAAGCGUGGGGAGCAAACAGGAUUAGAUACCCUGGUAGUCCACGCCGUAAACGAUGAGUGCUAAGUGUUCGGGGGGGUUUCCGCCCCCUCAGUGCUGCAGCUAACGCAUUAAGCACUCCGCCUGGGGAGUACGGUCGCAAAGACUG